rnacentral:miRNA from 1 species
CUCCUCCAGCACCAUAAUUCAAAAGCAUCAAUUCUUCGGCGAUCAGCCUUCGUUAUGGAGUGAGAGCUGGACCAUAAAGAAGGCUGAUUGCUGAAGAAUUGAUGCUUUUGAAUUAUGGUGCUGGAGGAG